AUAACAUGUCGUAAUAACGACAUCGCUAUGUCGUAAUUUCGACAUAACAUGUCGUAAUAACGACAUCGCUAUGUCGUAAUUUCGACAUAUCAUGUCGUAAUAACGACAUAACUAUGUCGUAAUAACGACAUCGCUAUAUAUAAAAGAAUAUGUAUUAUGAUUGGCAAGAGACUAAAUGACACAGAAAUUAACAACUAUAGGUCAUCACAAUGCCCCCAAUAGUUAGAAAAGGCCCGCAUAGUCAGCUAUAAAAGAGGGAGUAAAGAUACCAGAGGGAGAGUCCCCGAAAUGCUGUGUGGCAGACAGUAUUAUUAUUUAAUUAUUAGCUCCCUUGGUAAAACUCCAAAUUUUAUAUUUAAUGUAUUUUAUUGCUAAAUAAAAUACAUAAAGCUUAAUAAGUAUAAUUAUAUUUGUUAAUUGCAUAGCUUUUGCAAUUUGAAUUCAUUGGUUAAAGAUUUCUAUUGAUAUUGUAAAGUGCGAUAUUUGCAUCGUCGCAAAAUCUUUGGUUACCUUCUUUGGAUACCUUUAGUGAGAAUUUUAUAUUCUAUAGAUAUCAUCAAAG
rnacentral:lncRNA from 1 species